UACAGAGGGUGCGAGCGUUGUCCGGAAUCACUGGGCGUAAAGGGCGCGUAGGCGGCCUGGUAAGUAGGGGGUGAAAUCCUGCGGCUCAACCGCAGGGCUGCCUUCUAAACUGUCAGGCUGGAGCACGGUAGAGGCAGAUGGAAUUCCGGGUGUAGCGGUGGAAUGCGUAGAGAUCCGGAAGAACACCGGUGGCGAAGGCGGUCUGCUGGGCAGUAGCUGACACUGAGGCGCGACAGCGUGGGGAGCAAACAGG
rnacentral:rRNA from 1 species